GAAGAAAUAUCGGCUCCCCUUUGUCUCUGUUCCAGACUUCCAGUGCAAAGACCCAGAUCCAUUUUUGUCUUCCCUUCAUCUCCCCUCUCCAAAAUCCCACCUUCGCACACCAUUUUUGCCGUUUGUGGGUGUUGCUCUAUCGUUCCUCCCUCCGCUACAAAUUGGUCGGUCUCUUACACUCCUCCGCGACGGCCACCUCCUAAGCGUCAGAUCCUGAAAGUCGGCCGCACUCCUCCGCCACUCACGUGAACUCCUUUGCAUCGUAUCUGAUUAAGGUACAAGUGUUAGUGAAAUUACAAGUACAACAACCAAGAGCCGAGCAAAGCAUUCAGGGAUAUAGACCUAUUAAUUUCUGUUUCUUACUUGGGUGAAGGUUGCACAUGAUACAUAUUGGAGGUUUUAUUUUUUAGCAAGUUCAAUCUCGUCAACAGUCACCCAAAUCCACAAUCAUGGGGUCGGAAGGAAGCUGUUUUUUUGUUAGAGAAACUAGGCUUUUUGAGACAUGUAAUAUUUGCUGUAAUAUUUGUUUACUUUGUGUUUCAUUUGCUAUAAUAUUUGCUUACUUUGUGUUACAUUUGCUGUAAUAUUUGCCAGUUAUGAACUCAAUUCAAGAACUAAUGUUUCU